rnacentral:rRNA from 1 species
GCGAACGGGUGAGUAACGCGUAGGUAACCUGCCUGGUAGCGGGGGAUAACUAUUGGAAACGAUAGCUAAUACCGCAUAAGAGUAGAUGUUGCAUGACAUUUGCUUAAAAGGUGCAAUUGCAUCACUACCAGAUGGACCUGCGUUGUAUUAGCUAGUUGGUGGGGUAACGGCUCACCAAGGCGACGAUACAUAGCCGACCUGAGAGGGUGAUCGGCCACACUGGGACUGAGACACGGCCCAGACUCCUACGGGAGGCAGCAGUAGGGAAUCUUCGGCAAUGGACGGAAGUCUGACCGAGCAACGCCGCGUGAGUGAAGAAGGUUUUCGGAUCGUAAAGCUCUGUUGUAAGAGAAGAACGAGUGUGAGAGUGGAAAGUUCACACUGUGACGGUAUCUUACCAGAAAGGGACGGCUAACUACGUGCCAGCAGCCGCGGUAAUACGUAGGUCCCGAGCGUUGUCCGGAUUUAUUGGGCGUAAAGCGAGCGCAGGCGGUUAGAUAAGUCUGAAGUUAAAGGCUGUGGCUUAACCAUAGUACGCUUUGGAAACUGUUUAACUUGAGUGCAAGAGGGGAGAGUGGAAUUCCAUGUGUAGCGGUGAAAUGCGUAGAUAUAUG